rnacentral:rRNA from 1 species
UAGCGUAGGGUGCGAGCGUUAAUCGGAAUUACUAGGGCGUAAAGCGUGCGCUAGGCGGUUCGUGAUGUCUGAAUGGUGAAAGCCCCGGGCUCAACCUGGGAAUUGGCGAUUGGAAACGUAGCGGGCUGGAGUGUGGCAGGAGGGGGGUGGAAUUCCACGUGUAGCAGGUGAAAUGCGUAGAGAUGUGGAGGAACACCGAUGGACGGAAGGCAGCCCCCUGGGGCUAACACUGACGCUCAUGCACGAAAGCGUGGGGGAGCAAACAGG